AUGUUCAUAGAGGAGAGGAGUUGGAUUCUCUGGACUUUACCUGUGAAGCAGCAGCAGAGGAGAGUCCAGAUGAGGACGCAGAUCAAAUUUGUAUCACUGUGGUACACGUUCGGUGGAGGAACCAGACUGGAUGUUGGACGUGAUACCCGCCCCACCCUGACAGUGCUGCCCCCCUCCAGUGAGGAGCUGCAGCAAGGGACAGCCACCUUCAUGUGUCUGGCCAACAAGGGCUUCCCCUCAGACUGGACUCUGUCCUGGAAGCUGGAUGGCAGCAGCAGCAGCAGCAGCUGGGAGGAGAACAAGAGCUCUGGGGUGCUGCAGAAUGACGGCCUCUACAGCUGGAGCAGCACCCUGAGGCUCCCUGCAGACCAGUGGAGGAAGGUGGGCUCUGUGACCUGUGAGGCCUCCCAGGGCUCCCAGUGUGCUGUAACAGAGACCCUGAAGAGAGACCAGUGCUUCUAAAUUGAAUCUGUAGCUAAUUUUAUCUUUGCUUUAAUUUUUUUUUAUGACCAUCUUCUCUGUUUCAUUCUGAAUGUGCUUGAUAUUGUUUUAAAUUGGACUGAUUCAAUUUUAUCAGCAAUAAAUGUUUCACAAAGG